AUGGAUCUGCGGCGGCCGCCGCGCUCCUCCACGGGGGAGUGGACCCGAGGUUCCUCCAGGUCGGCUUCGUAACAUCGUCUGCCUCCGCCGAGCCCUCCGCGGCGGCGCUGGCCGCUCCCUCCCCCCCGCGGGGCUCCGACGUAUACCUGGGAUCGCUCUCCCCCGUUAUGAUCCCGCCCCCGACCACCACCUCACCCUUCAUCCUCCCCUCGCCUCCGACGCGGCCGACUCGCUCCUGCCGACCUCCCCGCCGCCGCCUUCGUCGUCCCGCCUCGACGCCGCUUCUGACCUCGACGACGUCGACGUGCCGUGGGCGCCCCCCCCCCCCCCCCCCCUUUUAGAAUCAAAUUAAGAUCUUGCUGAUACACGGAAUGAAGGUGCUCGAGCCCCAGUUCAAUAAAAACAGAAACUUAGCUUGUGUGUUGGUCUUCUGCCACACCUUUCACUGACAUGCUCCGUUUAUCUUAUUCAAAUUUCAGGUUUAUCAAAAAAAUCUAUAGCCAUGCUUUCUACUCUUAGUCCCGCCCUGUCAAAACAACCCAAAACUGUAAAGACACCUUUCAGGAAAGAUCCGCCCCAAGUUACACCCCCAGUUGCUUCUGAUAAGAAGACUAGUGAGCGCCCUCCUGACAGAGAUAGGAAGAAAGAUAUUCCUCCUCCUCGUAUGCAGUUUGAUGAUGUACAUCGGGUGGAGAAAGCAACGAGGCGCUCACUUGUCAUCCAAGCAGAAGCACAAAACAGAGUCGAAUUGUUCAGACAUCUCCCUCAGUAUGUGCAUGGCACUCAGCUUCCUGACCUCGAGUCAAAAAAUUUUCAUCUGGGUCCAAUGCAUCCUUCUGUCUACAAGGUUGGACUUCAAUAUUUGUCUGGUGUUAUAUCAGGUGGCAAUGCUCAUUGUGUAGCAAUGCUUCUUGCUUUCAGAGAGGCCAUAAAAGAUUACUCUACACCUUCCACCAAAACUCUCAACAGAGAUCUUACUGCUAAAAUCAGUAGCUAUGUGUCAUUUCUCAUUGAUUGCAGGCCUCUUUCAAUCAGCAUAGGCAAUGCUAUUAGGUUUCUGAAGAACAGGAUUGCCAAGCUACCACUUACAUUGUCUGAGUCAGAAGCUAAAGCUAAUCUCCAGUCCGACAUUGAUCGGUUUAUCAAGAGAAGAUAAUAGUUGCAGACCAGGUGAUGAUUGGGCAUGCAAUCACUAAAGUGAGAGAUGAUGAUGUUUUACUGACGUGUCAUCCUCAGUUGUUGAAAUGAUUUUUGAUCAUGCUCACAAGCUUGGAAAGAAGUUCCACAUUAUUUUGGUAGAUUCUUGUCUGAAUUAUGAGGGACAAGCACUAUUGAACAGAUUAGUUGCAAAAGGAAUCAGUUGCACGUAUACAUACAUUAAUGCCAUCUCAUACAUCAUGCAUGAGGUCACAAGGGUUCUUUUGGGUGCCUCUUCGAUACUGUCAAAUGGAGCAGUUUACUCCAGAGUCGGGACAGCAGUUGUAUCAAUGGUUGCACAUGCCUUUGGAGUGCCUGUUCUAGUGUUCUGCGAGGCAUAUAAAUUUCCUGAGAGGGUUCAACUUGAUUCUAUAUGCUCUAAUGAACUUGGUAACCCAGAUGUUAUUUCAAGAGUUCCUGAGAGGGAAGAUUUGUGGCACCUUAAAAACUGUACUCAUAAUGAAAAUCUACAACAUCUGAAUCUUAAGUAUGACACUACACCUUCUGACUAUGUUUCUAUGAUCAUAACAGAUUAUGGAAUGCUCCCACCUACUAGUGUGCCAGUCAUUGUGAGAGAGUACCGCCAGGAGCACAUAUGGAUAUAGAAUGAAGGAUAUUUUCCACGAUGAUUUUUUUUUGAUGUUUUAAUCUAAGGUGAGAGCAAACAACCAGCCAACAAGGAAUGCAGUUUUGGAUGUAGAUAGGACGGGCCAUGCAGGAAAAGUCUCACAUGUGCACAGAUGCUAGAUCCAAGAAUUUCUAGCUCGCUUGUUAUCUUCAGUAUUUGUAUUCAUACUAAAUAUGACUGUUGAUUAGUACACAGACUUGUUAUCCUGUACUGAGGUGACCAGACAUGAAUUUAAAUGGCACAUCAGUUAACACAGCCUUUCUACUUCA